UACGUAGGGGGCAAGCGUUGUCCGGAUUCAUUGGGCGUAAAGAGCUCGUAGGCGGCUGCUCAAGUCGAAUGUGAAAACUCGAGGCUCAACCUCGAGCCUGCAUUCGAUACUGGGUGGCUAGAGUCUGGUAGGGGGAUCUGGAAUUCCUGGUGUAGCGGUGGAAUGCGCAGAUAUCAGGAGGAACACCGGUGGCGAAGGCGGAUCUCUGGGCCGUGACUGACGCUGAGAUGCGAAAGCGUGGGGAGCAAACAGG
rnacentral:rRNA from 1 species